UACGGGGGGAGCAAGCGUUGUUCGGAUUUACUGGGCGUAAAGGGCGCGUAGGCGGUGUGUCAAGUCAGGCGUGAAAGCCCCGGGCUCAACCUGGGAACAGCGCUUGAGACUGGCACGCUCGAGUUCGGGAGAGGAUGGUGGAAUUCCCAGUGUAGAGGUGAAAUUCGUAGAUAUUGGGAAGAACACCGAUGGCGAAGGCAGCCAUCUGGACCGACACUGACGCUGAGGCGCGAAAAGCGUGGGGGAGCAAAACAGG
rnacentral:rRNA from 1 species